CAGUCGCCGCGGUAAUACGAAGGGGGCUAGCGUUGCUCGGAACUACUGGGCGUAAAGGGAGCGUAGGCGGAUCGUUAAGUUGGGGGUGAAAGCCCGGGGCUCAACCUCGGAACUGCCUUCAAUACUGGCGAUCUUGAGUAUGAGAGAGGUGUGUGGAACUCCGAGUGUAGAGGUGAAAUUCGUAGAUAUUCGGAAGAACACCAGUGGCGAAGGCGACACACUGGCUCAUUACUGACGCUGAGGCUCGAAAGCGUGGGGAGCAAACAGGAUUAGAUACCCGAGUAGUCCCUGUCUCUUAUAC
rnacentral:rRNA from 1 species